GAUUUCUGGUUUGAUAUGCCUGGCCCGCCACGGUUACGUGUGUGAGUGCCGGUGCGUGUCUGCCAUCCUUCCGGAAAACGUGUCUACCCUUCACUGGGACGGACACGCGAUCCGGAUCAUUUACUUUGAAAAAAUUAGAGUGUUUAAAGCAGGCUUUUUGCUAUGAAUACAUUAGCAUGGAAUAAUAAUUUAGGACUUUGGUCUUAUUUUGUUGGUUUCUAGGACUAAAGUAAUGAUUGAUAGGGACAGUUGGGGGUGCUAGUAUUCAGCGGCCAGAGGUGAAAUUCUUGGAUUCGCUGAAGACUAACUUAUGCGAAAGCAUU
rnacentral:rRNA from 1 species